ACAAUUUUCUUGUCCCUAACUUUUUAGUCAUUUAUCAAUUUUGAUGUAUGGUUAGCAUGAGAGAGAAAAAAAUAAAAAAAAAUUUCAAAAAAAGAAAUUGAGACAUUUAAUUUUUUUUUGAUUUUUCUUCUUUUUCAUCAUAAUUAUUCAUCAAAAUUGAUGAAUAGUUAAAAAGUUAAGAAUAUAGGAAUUACUAUAUUUUUAAUAGUAUAAUAGUCCUACUCUAUAUAUGUAUUAUUAUUUAAUAGUAUAAUAGUCCACCAUUCAUUUUAAAAAAUUUAAGGGUCGAGAUCUUUUUAGUGCAUAGGAGCAUUGCUCUUAUUAUUAUUAUUAUUAUUAUUAUUAA
rnacentral:lncRNA from 1 species